AAGCCUGUAAAGACACCAUUAAGGAGAUCCGGUAGAGUAUUGCAUCAAUCGGAUAGAUACUAUGAUUUUUUGAUCUGGGAUGGUGAUCCUAUCAAACUCGAUGAGAAUGAUGAACAUCUGAUCACCUAUAUAGAAGUCAUGCAAAGGUCUGACUCCCAAAAGUGGCUUGAGGCCAUGAAAUCUAAGAUAGAGUCCAUGG
rnacentral:lncRNA from 1 species